GAUAGUGACAGUGACGCUUUCAAAUUUUGUAUAUGUUCAAAUUCACCUUUUCAACUUCUUCAACGCGUCUGUUGAACUUUUUCUAAAGGUUUGAGGAUAUGUGAGUGAUGACAGAUUUACAGGCGCCGAAAGGAAUCCGUAUGACUAUGCAGCAGAGGGAAGUCUCGCUUCGCUUUAUACAAGUACAUGAAAAUUUUACAGAAAAAAGAAGAAUGCUCGCUGUUGAAUCUUCUUUUGGCAAUAUAGGAAAGGCAAGGCAAUUGCUGUUGAGAAUGCAGCCAUUGCGAAUACUAUGAAAAUGCUACAAGAUGUCGUGAAGAUGUGGGCUGGAGAAGGAGUGACGUUUUUUAUUCAAUUUUGUUUAAUAUAAUGUUUAUAAUAAUGUUUAGAACAACUUUUUUAGAAUUACUUGUUACUCUAUUAAAAC